rnacentral:rRNA from 1 species
UGGGGAAUAUUGCACAAUGGAGGAAACUCUGAUGCAGCAACGCCGCGUGAGUGAUGAAGGUCUUCGGAUUGUAAAGCUCUGUCUUCUGGGACGAUAAUGACGGUACCAGAGGAGGAAGCCACGGCUAACUACGUGCCAGCAGCCGCGGUAAUACGUAGGUGGCAAGCGUUGUCCGGAAUUAUUGGGCGUAAAGGGCGUGCAGGCGGCCAGGCAAGUCUGUCUUAAAAGUGCGGGGCUUAACCCCGUGAUGGGAUGGAAACUGUCAGGCUAGAGUGUCGGAGAGGAAAGCGGAAUUCCUAGUGUAGCGGUGAAAUGCGUAGAUAUUAGGAGGAACACCAGUGGCGAAAGCGGCUUUCUGGACGACAACUGACGCUGAGGCGCGAAAGCCAGGGGAGCAAACGGGAUUAGAUACCCCGGUAGUCCUGGCCGUAAACGAUGGGUACUAGGUGUAGGAGGUAUCGACCCCUUCUGUGCCGGAGUUAACGCAAUAAGUAUCCCGCCUGGGGAGUACGGCCGCAAGGCUG